rnacentral:piRNA from 1 species
UCAAUUGUAAACAUUGCCUGGUUCC